rnacentral:rRNA from 1 species
UAACGCGUGAGAAUCUGGCUCUAGGUUCGGGAUAGCAGUUGGAAACGACUGAUAAUACCGGAUGUGCCGAGAGGUGAAAGGCUUGCUGCCUAGAGAUGAGCUCGCGUCAAUUAGCUAGUUGGUGGGGUAAGAGCCUACCAAGGCGACGAUCUGUAGCUGGUCUGAGAGGACGAUCAGCCACACUGGAACUGAGACACGGUCCAGACUCCUACGGGAGGCAGCAGUGGGGAAUUUUCCGCAAUGGGCGAAAGCCUGACGGAGCAAUACCGCGUGAGGGAGGAAGGCUCUUGGGUUGUAAACCUCUUUUCUUAGGGAAGAUAAUGACGGUACCUAAGGAAUAAGCAUCGGCUAACUCCGUGCCAGCAGCCGCGGUAAUACGGAGGAUGCAAGCGUUAUCCGGAAUGAUUGGGCGUAAAGCGUCCGCAGGUGGUUUUGAAAGUCUGCUGUCAAAGCGUGCGGCUUAACCGCAUAAGGGCAGUGGAAACUACGAGACUAGAGUGCGUUCGGGGCAGAGGGAAUUCCUGGUGUAGCGGUGAAAUCCGUAGAGAUCAGGAAGAACACCGGGGCG